GGGAGUCCCUCCCUCUAAAAGCACUCUGUGUGGGGAACAUGAGAGCCAGACCAAAGCUCAGAGGAAGAAACGAGGAACUAAACGUAAACAUGAACCUGAACCCAGCUGUGUGUCCUUAAAGAGUGGCCGGUCCAAACAUCCCCCCAUUAGUUUUAAAGCCCACCAGGCAUCUGCUGCAGAGAGAGUGGACCAGGAGAGCUCAGAGGUUCCCAGUGGUCAGUCUGCCCAGCAGCAUCAAACACAG